AACGAACGAGGGAGGAAGGCCUAACACAUGCAAGUCGAACGAGACCUUCGGGUCUAGUGGCGCACGGGUGCGUAACGCGUGGGAACCUGCCCUUAGGUUCGGAAUAACUCCCCGAAAGGGGUGCUAAUACCGGAUAAUGUCUUCGGACCAAAGAUUUAUCGCCUUUGGAUGGGCCCGCGUUGGAUUAGCUAGUUGGUAGGGUAAAAGCCUACCAAGGCGACGAUCCAUAGCUGGUCUGAGAGGAUGAUCAGCCACACUGGGACUGAGACACGGCCCAGACUCCUACGGGAGGCAGCAGUGGGGAAUAUUGGACAAUGGGCGAAAGCCUGAUCCAGCAAUGCCGCGUGAGUGAUGAAGGCCUUAGGGUUGUAAAGCUCUUUUACCCGGGAUGAUAAUGACAGUACCGGGAGAAUAAGCUCCGGCUAACUCCGUG
rnacentral:rRNA from 1 species